AUAUGAGUCACAUGAAGAGAGAGAAAUUAAUAUAGUAUUUGAUAGACACCUUGAGGGGUUUAACCAUUGAGUUAUAGAGGGCAUCCUACAGGUGCUCUUGAUCGAUGGAGUUUCAACGCAAGUAUUCGUGCAACACUGCAACUGAAACCCUUGAGUGGAUUAAAGCAAUUUUAGAUUUCUUGAAACCCUUCAAAUUCUUCUUCGAAGCUAAUGUGGUCAAUUUCCUCAAGAGUCGGCUGUGGGAUUUUGUUGAUAAAGAUUGGAUAGAAUGCUUGAAGCACGAGCCUGUUGAAAAUCUUCUUCAGAUUCCUUCUGGAAUUGUGCAGGAGCACUGGCCUGCCUCACUGAAGGAAUAUGUACUCAGCGCUAGAUUACUUGCAUUUCCACGGGAACAAGCAAAGCUAGAAAAGGUAUUACCUGGCAUGAAUAUAGUCCCAUUAAAUAGUGUCCUUUCGGAAGGCAUGAAUCCCAAGAAAAAGCAUGAAGUUGAGGUUUUGUCUUCGCUUGUAAGCUACGUUACGAGAAAUAUAGGUUCUCAUACUGUUAUUGAUGUUGGUGCCGGGCAGGGCUACCUUAGUCAGGUACUUGCCUUCCAGUACCAGCUACCUGUAGUUGCAAUUGACGCUUCUUCUCAUCAUGGAGUUGUUACAAAUACACGUGCCGAGAGAAUAAAAAAGCAUUAUGCGGCUAAGCUACAUAAAUCUGGCAAGGGGCCACCAACUAUGCCUACGACAAUUACAUCGCAUGUAAUGUCCUCUUCUAUGCUGAAAGACCUUAGCAACUACUGCUGCCAGAGAGAUGGACUUGGUAAAAAGGAAUACUCAGGAAAAGGCCCGAACAAUAUUUCUCAUAAAAUUGUUGAGGUUGGAGACUCGCGAUUCUCAUGCAGCGGAGCUAGUGCUGAGAGUAGUUCAUCAGUGGUUCUUGCUGGUCUCCAUGCUUGUGGUGAUUUAUCUGUGACUAUGCUGAGGACGUUUGUGGAGUGCAAGGAAGUGAAGGCGGUGGUUAGUAUAGGGUGUUGCUACAACUUACUAUCAGAAAUUGGAUGUGAAAAUGGUGAUUUCAACUGCGGUUUUCCUAUAAGCAAGGGGAUCAAUUACAUGGGUGUUUCACUUGGUAAAAAUGCACGUGAUCUUGCUUGUCAGAGUGCCGAAAGAUGGCAAAGUUUGGAGAAGGAAGCUGGUAUUCAGAAUUUUGAUUUGCAUGGAUUUCGUGCUGCCUUUCAGAUGACGAGAUAUCCAAAACAACUUUGGAGAUGGACUCUGCAAGUGAUGGAUCUCAAUGCGAUCAUGACGACAGAAAAGGGAGUUUUAAUGAUAAGUAUCCACUUUUUGAGAAAUUCAGCCACUCAGGUCUCUGCCAUCUUUGUAUUGAGCCUCUGCAAGAUAUGGAUUUGCGUGGACUUUGGAGAGAAUAUCAGCCUCUUGCUGUAUGUCUCUUGCAGCCUAGAUUUGUUUUCUCGAAUCAUGCAACCUGCUGUUUCAUGUUCCUUUAGAUGUUCAAUUGUGAUGCUGUUUCAGAAGAUUCAUGCUAGUCUGCUGAAUUUUGACAUGGUGACUAAAAUAUGGCAAAUGAGGGAAAGACUGACUCGUUAUAUUAGCUUUUGUUUUGGCAUAUUGAAAACAGAAGUGAUAGGUUUUGAUAAAUUCUUAUUGGGGGGGGGGGGGGGGGGAGGAGAGUGAAAUGCCAGUAUAGGAAUUUGACAAAUAAAUUAAGCAACAAAGGGUUAUGGUAUAUUAACUAAAUUCCUCAAUUUCCCUAGUGAAGCGUCACCUAUUGUUUUGAAAAAGGUGAAGUAUAUCAAUAUCAGUUUGAAACAUAAUAGAUGUUCAUAGAUAGCAAAGAGCAUCAUGCUUCUAGGUUGAGCUUCAUGCUAUGUGCAGACCUUGUUCAUCAGCCUCAAUCUGUAAAAGUUAUGAGGGUUCGUGCCCGAGUCUCUCAGCUUCUUCGAAUGAAUUAUAUCCUUUUCUGGGGAGCAAUUGUCUAAUGCAGAAAUCUAUCAUCUAUUUGAUCUUGAAAGCAUGUAAUUCCUAUGCGUAAAGAAAGUCUGCUGAAAGUAGAAUUAAAUCAAUUGUGAAUAAUAUUCUCGCGCUUCUCUCUCUGGACUCUCCCGCCAUUGAUGUGGGUUGUGGUUUUCGAACCUGAGCCAUGGCAAAAACUCCCAUCAAAGGGCAAUUCAAGCUACUGUGCAACGAGAGAAACGCCAGAUACCCUCAUCAUCUUCAUUGGAACCAGAUGAACCAAUAGUUAUCGAACUGAUGAAUCCGAUCGAAAAUGGACGAAUUCAAGAAUGGUUAAAUGUUCAAAUGUUGGAUGUAGCAGCAAUUGAAAAAGCUUUUCGCGAUCAAGAAGACAUGAGUAAGUGGCUUAAUGUGCUGAAAAAGGGGGAUGAGUCAUGAGCCUCUGGGUAUCAGACAGGAGAACUCGAAUGGAGGUCCUAAAAUGGCGGACAACAAUGGUGAAACAGGAGCUUAUAGGACCAUACUGGUCUCUGCGAGCUGCUCUGGGGCCUGUCCUGGAAACUCUCUUAUUGCUGGAUCGAUUGCUGUACCUACAGGAGCAAGAAACUGUUGAAGUUCUGAUGUUGCCUAUUUUUCAUCCUGUU